CAGUAGCCGCGGUAAUACGUAGGUGGCAGGCGUUGUCCGGAAUUAUUGGGCGUAAAGGGCUCGCAGGCGGUUUCUUAAGUCUGAUGUGAAAGCCCCCGGCUCAACCGGGGAGGGUCAUUGGAAACUGGGAAACUUGAGUGCAGAAGAGGAGAGUGGAAUUCCACGUGUAGCGGUGAAAUGCGUAGAGAUGUGGAGGAACACCAGUGGCGAAGGCGACUCUCUGGUCUGUAACUGACGCUGAGGAGCGAAAGCGUGGGGAGCGAACAGGAUUAGAUACCCCCGUAGUCCCUGUCUCUUAUAC
rnacentral:rRNA from 1 species